rnacentral:rRNA from 1 species
CACGGGGGGAGCAAGCGUUGUUCGGAAUCACUGGGCGUAAAGGGCGUGUAGGCGGUCAGGUAAGUGGGAUGUGAAAUGCCCCGGCUCACCCGGGGACCGGCAUCCCAAACUGCUUGGCUUGAGUAUGGGAGAGGAUGAGGGAAUUCCUGGUGUAGCGGUGAAAUGCGUAGAUAUUGGGAGGAACACCAGUGGCGAAGGCGGCUCACUGGACCGGAACUGACGCUGAGGCGCGAAAGCGUGGGGAGCAAACAGG